GACGAACGCUGGCGGCGUGCCUAAUACAUGCAAGUCGAGCGAACAGACGAGGAGCUUGCUCUUCUUACGUUAGCUGCGGACGGGUGAGUAACACGUGGAUAACCUACCUAUUAGACUGGGAUAACUUUGGGAAACGGUAGCUAAUACCGGAUAAUAUAUUUAAUCGCAUGGUACAAUAUUGAAAGGUGGUUUUGCUUCCCUUUAUGGAUGGCUUCGCUCCUCUUAAGCUAGUUGGUAGGGAACGGGCUUACCAAGGCAACGUAGCGUACCCGACCUGGGAGGGUGACGGGCCAACCUGGAACUGAGACACGGCCAGAACUCCUACGGGAGGCAGCAGAGGGGAUUCUUGCGAAUAGGGCGAAGGCCUGACGGAGCAACGCGCGUGGGUGAAUAAGGUUCUUCGGAUCGUAAAACUCUGUGAUAAGGGAGGAAGAGAUGUGUAAGUAACAAUGCACGCUUUGACGGUACCUAAUCAGAAAGCCACGGCUAACUACGUG
rnacentral:rRNA from 1 species